GCUUCUAACGUACGCAGCCUGCUCGUCUUCCACCUCCGGCCAACUUCCUCCCUCUACCGCGCUUCCCUCCCCACAACAGCAGACCACCGGCGCUCCCUGUUCUUCUUCCCCGUGGGCGCGCCCCCUUCAUCCAGGCAGCAGACGACGCACGCACGCCAGGAACGCCCGAGCUCUCCAUCUCUAAUCCAGCGCUCAAGGUUCCACUCCCUCUCUCCUCCAAGCGUGUGGUGUCUUCCCUGCUCCUCCAUGGUGCCCAGAUCCGGCGCGCGCCCCUGCAAAUCUUCACUAGCACACCGGGCUCCUCCCUCCUUGGUGCUCGGCCUCCAUGGAUGCACAUCACCUCCUCCCAUGGACGCCAGCAGCAGGAGCUCCUACUCCCAGGGCGCCUCUCCCCCAUCCAUGGCGUCCGACCCCCUCUCCUUUCUCCUCCCUGCUCGGAGCUCUGCUACGGCACACGCAAAUCCCUCCCCUUUUUGUGCAGCUCACCAUCCCCAGUAGCCGCAAUGUCUCCCUCUGCACCUGUCCGAUUCCAUGGAGGACGACUUCCCCAUGGGCAGGAACUCGACGCCGCCUCCCCAAGUGCAGCCAUGGCUGAGCUUUCCCUUCCCCUGCUCGGGACAAGCCCCUCCCUGCUCCAUUUUUUUCUCUCUCUGCUCUCGGCCGCUAGCAACCAGGGCAUUGGCCCCUGCUCCCUACUACUUCUCCUCUCAGCUUCCUCUCUGCAGUAGAGAGCGCAGGAAUAUGCUCGGCGCUUUAGCGCCCAGCCUUCUGUAGGAGCAGCGCACUCCUCUUCUGAAGCACCUCGCUGGCGCCCUCAUCGUCCAUCGACAACAUCCCAUGGCGCUGCUGUCCCCAUGGUCUCCCUGUUGCGAGAGUUGCCUCGUCGCACUCGUCGUCGGGCUCGAAUCGGGUGUGCGCAUUCCAUCCGCGACAGCGUCGACCCCCGCGGCGGCCUUGUACUCGCGUUGCUCCCCGAGCCGAGACCUUGCACGCAGCAGCAAGUCCCGGAUCCCCUCCGAAUCGCGUGCUUCGCUGGAUCUGUGCAGCCCCAGCUGCUACGACGUCAAAUACUGCUAGAUGUUGUCGCGGCGCCUCGCGCGACGCAUGGUUCGAUGAAGCGCCUAAACCGUGGACGCAUGCGCAACUCGAAUCCGAGUUUGACAGGUUGAUGGAUUUAUGAUUUACUAUUGAUGUGAUUCGAUUGAUGGCAUGCAUACA